GCAUCGGUAGUGCAACUGGUUCAGCACACGCGCCCGGAAAGGGUUAAAUGCGGGUUUCGAGUCCCGCCCGACAUCAACCUAUGCA